CGGGGCGUAGCGCAGUCUGGUCAGCGCACCUGGUUUGGGACCAGGGGGUCGAAGGUUCGAAUCCUUUCGCCCCGA
rfam:Sulfurospirillum deleyianum DSM 6946, complete genome.